GCAGUAUAUUUGCUAGUUUGUUUGGGUAAAUAUUUUAAAAUAUUACGAAAUAUACUAUUAAGCGCGGUACCCUGUCAUGAAUGGCCAAGGCUUAAACAAAAGCCAACAGGUUUUAGGAGCUGUUCCAUUAUGUGGUGAUUCCCAAGACAAGGAUUGCCAAAAUCGCUGAAGAACUUUCAUGAGGAUUAAUAGUAUCAGAAUAGUACUGCGGUAAACAUUUGAUGCUGCUCAUGAUGAAGGGGAACAACGAUAUGCUGCUGUACUUCAGCCAGACUCAUCCGAACAACGUUACAGGAAAAUCAGACUUUGGACGUGAUUACAAUGCCGCAGUACGAGGAUGGUAUUGGUUUGGUCCGCGUUAAUAUAUGGAUUGUGUCGUGCUUGGGUACAUCGAGGAUGUAAAAUUGGUACUGCCAGUGCACAGUCUGCAGGAUGCCAGCAUCAAAUUCACACUCCCCUGGCGAUUCCGUAGCUGCGACGAUCGGAAAUACAUAGCUAGAGAUGGUUGGCACAAAGCCAUCGAUUUGGUUGACUGGUUCCAAAGGCGGCCUCCGUGGGAGAACCCACGAAUAAAACGCGUUCUUCCUUUAAUUGCGGAAUAUUUUCGUCCAAUUGGUUCCUCGGUGCGACCCGAAGAUUUGCGAGCAAAACAAAGCAAAGUUGCUGUUCUAAAUAUGUCUUGUUAUGUAUAUGAUUUAUCUUCAUCAGGAAAUAAUAAAUAAAAUAAAGAGUUAUU